ensembl:lncRNA
AUGUACCCCAUGUUUCUCAAAUAAUCCAAAUGAUAACAUAGAGCUGCAUGGUGACCCUGAGGAAGUGACCAUCUACAUCCAUCAGGUGAUCCCUCCAUUUAUCUCUCCAUCCAUCCAGGUGAUUAAUCAAUUCUUCCAAUCAAAGAUCCAACCAACCCAACUUACAUCCUUCCAUCUGAUAUUAAUCUAUUCGUUCCGAUAUAUAUAUAUCUGGCUAUCCAUCCAUCAUUUCUAUUCAUCCAUUUGUCCAUCCAUCCAUCAUUUCUAUUCAUCCAGCCAGCAAUCCAACCAAAUUUACAUCCAUCCACUCCAUAAAUCCAUCUCUCUGUUCAUUUAUUUCAUCCAUCCAGCCUGCUUAUGAAUCUAUUCAUCUAGCCAGCAAUCCAACCAAAUUCAAACCAUCCAACAAUCUAUCUAUUCAUUUAAUCCAUCCAUCCCGUAACUUCAUUCAUUCCAUUUAUCCAUCCAUCCCGUUUAUCCACUCAUUCCAUUUAAUGCAUCCAUCCCAUAACUUCAUUCAUUCCAUUUAUCCAUCCAUCCCAUUUAUCCACUCAUUCUAUUUAUCCAUCCAGCCAUCCAUCAAUCUAUUCAUUCCAUCCAUCCAAUAUUUAAUCUAUUCAUCCAAUCAGCAAUCCAACCAAACUUCCAUCUAUUAAUUUAAUCCAUCCAUCCAUCCCAUAACUCUAUUCAUUCAAUUUUUCCAUCCGUUCAUCCAUCAAUCCAUUCAUUCCAAUUGUCCACUUAUUCCUUUUGUCCAUCUAUUUUAUUCCAUUCAUCCAAUAUUUAAUCUAUUCAUCCAAUCAACAAUCCAACCAAACUGGCAUCGAACCAUCUAUUCAUUUACUCCAUCCAUCCAAUAAAUCUGUUCAUUAAUUAUAUCCAUCCAUCCACCCACUCAUUUGUUCCAUUCAUCUAUUCAUUCCAUCAGACCAUCCAUCCUCUCAGCCUGUGGCUGGGCGAUAAGAAGAUUUGAUCAGAUAGCAGUGAUGUCUAAUCCGUGCUGAUCCUUGCCAGAUGAUGGCACUCCUUUUAGAAACCGAGAACUAGAGAGGGAUCAUUUUAAACAGCUAAAAAAUAUACAUCUUACUUUACUUAUCCUACAAAUAAAAUACAAAAACUACAGAAGACUAAAGUGUACUCUGAAUAUUAAACUGCGUAGGCUACAAAUUAAGCGACGAAGGCAGCGGGCGGAUUGAAUAAAUUCCUAAACAAUGAGAUUGUAUACGUAAAAGAAAAACAAGACGAGGGCUAUAUUAUAAAAGUCUUUAUUUAUGAGGCAUUUAGUUAUCACAGAAUAAAUCGAACCAAAAUGUUUUUCAUUUUAGCUUCUCGAUGACUGAAAUAUGAAAGUAAAAUACUUCAGCGGUGCACUCUCUCUUCUCUGCAUCCUACUUUUCUGCUUCCACCAAUCAGGAGCGACCCUGGUGGCCAUGUGGGCGUGUACGAUGAGGCAGGACCAUGUGAUCUCACUGUGAGCAGAGUAGUUUUUAAGCCACAUCUAGGCAAAAGAGUUUUUAAAAUUAUGUUUGAGACUCGGGCACAGCUUUUGGAAGUGCAGAGAAUAAAAUUAUUAUUUUUUUUUUUUUAAAUUCAGGAAAACAAGAACGAACAAUGAGAAACAGGUUACCAUGACAACAGUGAGAGGUUGGCGUGGGGCGAUCGUGAUCGGUUAUCGAGAUUGAUUUUUAACUUAUUAUGAUUCGUAUCAGCCGACCGAAACAUCCAAUGCAACAAAACAUGGAUUUGAAACAAUCAGAUCUUGGGAAAAAAAACUAAACAAAACAAAAACAACAACUGUAAGUUGAAUAAGUAGCCUUAUUGAUCAUUCAUUGGUUGCCUUCUUCUCUUUUUUUUUUUUUUUUACAUGAACCUGAGCAAUGCUGUAAUAAAUAUCCGAUCCUGAAUAAAUAUCAUUGCGUGAGCCGGGGAAGAAAGAAAAACAUUUCAUAUGGAUGUAAACCAUCCUACAUUCUCAAUCUGAUAGACUUCCUCCGUUUCUCUUUACAAACUCACGAUGCGGAGAACGCACGGAGAUGGAAACCAGCCGGGGACAAACAUCCGAGAGCGACGCCGUAGUGUUGAGCGCUUCACUUACAAAGGCACAAACUAUUUCCCAGAUAACAUCAAAUCUAACGUGGAGAAAUGAAAAGUAACAAAAUAAUUAUAAGCAAACAUCAGACGUGUCCUUCCGUCCUUUCAGGAGAGAUGAGUCUGGCAUAGAAACGAUCCCGUAUCCAGGUUUUAUUUCUUUUACUUUGUGAUCGCCGUCAACAAUGCCAAUGUUUUAUUAGAUUUUUUUCCCCUCGAAAGUGCAAUUCACAAGAAGAGAGAUCCCACAGCCCCGCUUCAAUACUGUUUCCAAUGCACUCGCAGUCUUGCUCGAUCGUGACACCGUGUUAAGUAGCUAUAAACGUUAAAAAGGAGCAAUAAAAUAUUCUUUUAUAUAAAUAGAACGUUUAAAUGAGGAUCUGUGGAGCCAGGAAGGCUAUCCUCGAGUACUAUAAACCAAAACAAUAAAAGUUGCUUUAUUGUAUAAAAUGGUGAAUAAUUAGCUUUGGUAAUGCAAGUUGGUCCAACGAGGACGUACAAACACAUGACACUUAAAUAAAUCGAACAAUAAUCAAGAAACAGUGAAUUAAUUAAACAGCUGAUAAACGGUCCUUGUUUGGUAAUUCCACACCCAGAACCUAGCUUGCUAACAUUAACGUAAACAGCUACCCGUUCAUCCUUACAUAUUUACGCCUCGAGGAAAUGAUUUCCGAGAACGCAUAGCCUCCGGACUCCAUGUAUAACCCGAUUUUUUCGGAACGCCGCAGUUACGGUAGUUGGCACGCUCGCUAUCUUGCUAGAAUCCGGAACAUGAUCGUAUGUCGUUCACUAGAAACAAAACCAACGCC